rnacentral:siRNA from 1 species
AGGCACUUUCCGAAAAACUUUAAG